CCUUUUCUGUGAAAUUAUAUAUCCUUGGCUUUUGUUCUACUAUAUCAAUAGAUAGCUGGUGUUGGUUGUUGUCUUAGUAAUAAACACUUAGCUGCUUUACUGAUAAAUUUCACCUGCUCUUUAUGUCCCCCACUAUAGUAGUGGGGGACAUAUUGUUUUUGCCCUGUCUGUUGGUUGGUCUGUUUGCGCCAACUUUAACAUUUUGCAAUAACUUUUGCUAUAUUGAAGAUAGCAACUUCAUAUUUGGCAUGCAUGUGUAUCUCAUGAAGCUGCACAUUUUGAGAGGUGAAAGGUCAAGGUCAAGGUCAUCCUUCAAGGUCAGAGGUCAAAUAUAGGUGGCCAAAAUCGCUCAUUUUAUGAAUACUUUUGCAAUAUUGAAGAUAGCAACUUGAUAUUUGGCAUGCAUGUGUAUCUCAUGGAGCUGCACAUUUUGAGUGGUGAAAGGUCAAGGUCAAGGUCAUCCUUCAAGGUCAGAGGUCAAAUAUAUGUGGCCCAAAUCGCUUAUUUUAUGAAUACUUUUGCAAUAUUGAAGAUAGCAACUUGAUAUUUGGCAUGCAUGUGUAUCUCAUGGAGCUGCACAUUUUGAGUGGUGAAAGGUCAAGGUCAUCCUUCAAGGUCAGAGGUCAAAUAUAUGUGGCCCAAAUCGCUUAUUUUAUGAAUACUUUUGCAAUAUUGAAGAUAGCAACUUGAUAUUUGGCAUGCAUGUGUAUCUCAUGGAGCUGCACAUUUUGAGUGGUGAAAGGUCAAGGUCAUCUUUCAAGGUCAGAGGUCAAAUAUAUGUGGCCCGAAUCGCUUAUUUUAUGAAUACUUUUGCAAUAUUGAAGAUAGCAACUUGAUAUUUGGCAUGCAUGUGUAUCUCAUGGAGCUGCACAUUUUGAGUGGUGAAAGGUCAAGGUCAUCCUUCAAGGUCAAAUAUAUGGGUCAAAAUUGCUCAUGUAAUGUCACUUCUGCAAUAUUGAAGCUAGCAAUUUUAUAUUUGAAAUGCAUGUGUAUCUCAUGGAGCUGCACAUUUUGAGUGGUGAAGGGUCAAGGUCAUCCUACAAUGUCAAACGUCAUAUGGGGGACAUUGUGUUUCACAAACGCAUCUUGUUUCUGUCAUGCCUUUUUAUUUAACAGAUGUUUACCUUUAUAUUUAUUUACUUCACAAAACACUUUUCUUUCUUGCUUCUUUUGCCUGCCUUUAAUUGCUUAGUGAUAGCCUUUCAUUUUAUUUCUAAUAUGCUAUUACUUCUUCAUAGUUUUUAAUUAUUUUCAUCAUUCAUCACUACAAUCACGCUAAUUAUUUAUGUCAUUGAAGUGUCACUGACUGGAAUGAAUUAAUAUUUCUUAACCUUAAUGCCAAAAUUUCUUUUUAUAUUAAAUAUAAUGUUUAGUAAAAAGUCUCUACUUCUAUUGUAAUUUGAUGUAUAAAUUACAAUACUGAAUUGUAUUCAAAAAGUUGUUUAUUGGAAUAAAAUGAUUAAAUUAAAUGGUUUAGACAUUAUUUUAUUAUAUAACUAAAAUAACUAUUGAUUAAAAUAUAUUAUUUUAUAGACAAAAUAAUUUACAAAUAUAUCUUGUUAAUGGUUUGGAGCUUCUUCAGUGAGUUUUUCUUUAGUGCCAACUAGUGCACAACAGGCAACUGCAACCAAGCCAUCACCAGCUACCAUCACUGCCUCUCAGUCUGUAUUGACAACCAAGCUCCCCCCCCCCCCCCUGGGCGGAGCUUAAUGUUUCGAAAAUAGUUCCGAAUAAAUGAAUAAAAUAUUGCAGUAAAAUGAACGUGCUAAAAUGCGCUCUAAAAGAAAUGUAAUAAAUGUAGCAUGUAUAUUAGUGUAAUGAAACAACAAAUGGUAUAUUUGGUGAUAAGUGGCAUAACCACGCCUGCAAAGAAUGUUAUUUGUUAAAAAACAAAAUUAAGGAAACAUUUAUAGCAUGUCAUCUUUUCAUUAGCAUCAAUAAACGUGACGUCAUUUAGUUUCUACGAUUGUUGUUCUCAAUGAAAGUGAUGUCAUUCGCAAAAUAUUUAUGAAUGAAAACGACGUCAUAUGUUUGUACAAUUCAAUGACGUCACUAAAUAGUGAACUUUGUACAAAGAAGGGCGGAGUAUUAAACAAUAUAGUUCACGUCCAAAAGCUUGAACCAAAUCAAUCAGAAUAGUGUUAGAAUCAAAAUAAUAUUUUUCUUUGAUGGUUUGUAGUCGAAUAACCCACAGUAAGGAGUAUAGAUGCGUUUUAUCAAAUCACUCGUCGUCGAAUAACCCACAGUAAGGAGUAUAGAUGCGUUUUAUCAAAUCACUCGUGCUUUGCACUCGUGAUUUAAUUCCUACGCAUCUAUACUCCUUACUGUGGGUUAUUCGACUACAAACCAUCAUAGAAUAUUAUUUUUUAACUCACAUUUUUCAUGUGAAAUCAAUUACUGGAACAAUGGCUUGCAAGUAUCGAUGGUUUAGCUUAUAUUUCUGUUCCUCCCAAAUCAUGACACUGCAAAUUCCAAACACUCAAAAUAAGUAAAUAUUAAAUAUUACACAGACACUUUGCUUUAAUUCCAGAAUUUCCCUUCAUCGAGAGCUGGCGAGCCUGUGUGCCAGAGGUGGACCAGCAGUGGAUUUCUAAAUCCCUGUUCACUUACAGCAGUAAGGGCCACCCAGAGCUGGAUGACAGAAAGCUAGAUGGCUUUUGGCAUUACCGUCCUAAGCCCCAGCCACUACCAAACCAAAAGCCAAGGCUUGACAGGCUGUUCCUAUGGAUCCCACAGCGGUUAUGCAGGAUGGCGCUGACCUGUCCCUUCUGCAGGGUGACCCAUCUUACCAAGCAGGGUCUGUACCGGCUACCCAGGAUGGUGCUGGACAUAGAUUCUUUUUACAUUGUUGCAACUGAGAAUUUGCACUGUAUCAAGUGCAAGAAGAAUCAGAUAGGCUGGAGUGAUGCCAUAUUGGACCAGCUUGAUCUGGCUACCAGGUCUUCGUUUUCGGUACAGAUGAUGUACCAUAGCGCAUGUGACAACCGUGUCAAUACUUGUUGCGCCAGAGAGGCUUAGGUAACAGUCCUACUCAGCUUCAGAAGCAGAUCACCGAGCUGCACAAUUUACGUUGGACAAAGCAACACCUGCAGUACAUGAGCGACUGUGCUUUGUACCGCAAAUCUGUGCAGUCUAAGUUAAUUUUGACAACAACUUUCGAAGAGCCGCUCCCACACUACCUAUUACCAACAUAUCAGUGGUUUCUUCGUGUUUAUCAGCAGGAGGUUUUAUCUCGGUCGGAAGAGGUCAAGGCGGCAGUGUCAUCCAUCUUUGGUCUGGUAUUAAAGAUUGACUCUACUAAGAAGGUAACCAAGAAGCUGGCGGGUGAAGCUGAUUGGACAGCUGCGUGGUCCACUAACGUGGGUAAUGAGUAUGGCCAGGUACUCAUGAGUGUCAUGACAGCCAUCGAAGGGUGUGGGCUGGAGGAGAUGGUGUCAGGCAUCAUAAGACGCUAUUCGGAGGCUGAUGUUUUACCGCCAGUCCUGCUGUAUGUGGACAGCAACUGUUGCGGGAAGUCCGCACUGAUGGACAUUUUCAGGAGUGCUUGGCCUGACCUUGUCGUGCGAUUGGACGUGUGGCACUUCAUGCGGCGUCUUGCUGUAGGGGUCACAACGGACACCCACAGACUGUAUGCUACAUUCAUGGGUCAGCUAACAGCUGCCAUCUUCUAGUUGGACAGGACCGACCUGAGUCUCUGAGACCUGAGAACCAGUGCUAGCGCCAUCAACUUCCAGACUUACUUGCUGGAGGGCGUGAUGCGCUGGAACGAAGACAGACAGAUUGCUGUAACCAGCACUGAGAAGGAAACUGUAUUGUAUGACGCACGGUUGAAGACCGCCACUAACAGACUGAGUCAGGAGCUUUUUAACAAGAAUAUUUUCCCUACAUUCCAGCCUCCAAACAAAUACACUGGUAUACUGGAUUAUGAAAGACUGAUUAACAUAAAAUUGACAACUCAUCUCCCCAACGACAUUUUGUGUGGCUCAUUCUCAGAACAAACCCAUAGUCAGUGAGAAAACUACAGUGUAAAAAGACCACUUGAUUGUGACAAUUAUGGCUGACCAAGCAAAUGUUAUCAUUUAAAAUAAAGAAAACUUCCAGUUCAAUAUACAUUUUAUACCAAUUAUGACAUUGGCCAACACAGAAAUUAAUUAUAAGGUUGAUUUUCCCAAAAUUGACUUUUACAAUUGGAUACAGUUUUAAGCUUCACUCUACUUUGUCCGAAAAUAAAAGUCCUAAAUGAUGUAAUAGAA